rnacentral:tRNA from 1 species
UAGCUUAGUUGGUAGUGCGUCUGCCUUGUAAGCGAUAGGCCGCGGGUUCGAUUCCCGC